GAUGAACGCUAGCGGCAGGCUUAAUACAUGCAAGUCGUGGGGCAGCAUGAGUAGCAAUACUUGAUGGCGACCGGCAAACGGGUGAGGAACACGUACACAACCUUCCUUCAAGCGGGGAAUAGCCCAGAGAAAUUUGGAUUAAUACCCCAUAAUAUAUUUGAUAAGGCAUCUUAUUAAUAUUAAAGCUUCGGCACUUGAUGAUGGGUGUGCGGCUGAUUAGAUAGUUGGCGGGGUAACGGCCCACCAAGUCUACGAUCAGUAGCUGAUGUGAGAGCAUGAUCAGCCACACGGGCACUGAGACACGGGCCCGACUCCUACGGGAGGCAGCAGUAAGGAAUAUUGGACAAUGGACGAAAGUCUGAUCCAGCCAUGCCGCGUGAAGGAUUAAGGUCCUCUGGAUUGUAAACUUCUUUAUAUGGGACGAAAAAGGGCAUCCUUGUUCACUUGACGGUACCAUAUGAAUAAGCACCGGCUAACUCCGUGCCAG
rnacentral:rRNA from 1 species